CUUCAGAGUCCAGAAUGCAAGCACAUUGCUGAGUUACUGCAGGGUAACUUUGUGAGUAGUUAGCAGCUCCCAGCCGCUCUGACCUCUGCAUAAACUGCACUUGAUUUUGCCCACCUGUAUUUGCAGGGUCAUCACAGAGAAUCUCCAGGGUGAGCAGUCUCAUCAGAAAUCAGCCUAGUAGACCUGGAAGAAAGCCAGUGUAGGACAUCAUGGUCCUGCUAAUGAAGAUGUUAUCUCUGGAAACUUUCUGCGUUACUCAGCAUUAUGCUAUCCAGCUGCCAAAUAGUGAUAUCCUUCAUUACCAAGGCAAUUCUCUGAACAGCUGCAACAAUGCUGGGAAAUGCCACCUGAAAUUGGAAGACAAUAUCAAGUUUUCAGAAGAGAUAAUAUUUUGUUUUAUUAGUUUACAAUAAACUGUACCAUCUUCGGCAACAAAUAAAUGAACUUUUAUUAGAGACUUUUAUUACAGAGACUUUUAUUAGCUGUGUGGCUGGCAUGUGUUUGCAUGCCUACUUUUGCAAUGAGGGUCAUGCUUUUUAACAGAUAAGUACAGAACCUCAAGCAAACAGAAGCAUGCUUCCAGGAGCAUAUAUAUAUAUGUGUGUGUAUAAAUAUAUGUAUGUAUAUGUAUAUAUUAAAAAGAAGUGCUU